rnacentral:rRNA from 1 species
GGCCAGACUCCUACGGGAGGCAGCAGUGAGGAAUAUUGGUCAAUGGUCGGGAGACUGAACCAGCCAAGCCGCGUGAAGGAAGAAGGCGCCAAGCGUCGUAAACUUCUUUUGUCGGGGAACAAAGGCGCCCACGGGUGGGCGGAUGAGUGUACCCGAAGAAAAAGCAUCGGCUAACUCCGUGCCAGCAGCCGCGGUAAUACGGAGGAUGCGAGCGUUAUCCGGAUUUAUUGGGUUUAAAGGGUGCGUAGGCGGACAGUCAAGUCAGCGGUAAAAAUGCGGUGCUCAACGCCGUACAGCCGUUGAAACUGGCAGUCUUGAGUGGGCGAGAAGUAUGCGGAAUGCGUGGUGUAGCGGUGAAAUGCAUAGAUAUCACGCAGAACUCCGAUUGCGAAGGCAGCAUACCGGCGCCCGACUGACGCUGAGGCACGAAAGCGUGGGUAUCGAACAGGAUUAGAUACCCGAGUAC